ACAGUUUGUGUUUCAUUUAAACAUCUGGUGCAAACAUCAGGUCCAGUAUUUAACAUCUGGAUUGCAGGUAAAGUCAGAUAUGUUGUAUUUAAUAAGAGAUCAGGGUGAUGUCAGUCACACAACACACAGACCUGUGUCUUAUGUUCAUAAGCUGAUGUAUCUGAACUCGCCGUCACUCCGUGGUCACGGCUGAGGCCUCACCUUGAUGUUCUGGGCUCUCAGGACCUCCUGCUGAAAUAACCUUUACCUCUGAUACGGAGCUCAAAGUCUAUUUGAACACAUAAAAAGCAGCUCAACCUUUCAGGAAAAUGUCAGCUGGGCUGUUUACAGUCUCGGAGACGUCUUCCACGGCGACGGGCACACGUAUAGAUUCCUGAAAGUGACGACUGACUCCCUGCUUUGGGUGUUUUGUCAGCGUUUAGUGUUUACCAGCUGUUUGUCCAAAAACAACACACACCCUCCUCUGAUCACAGUCGUCUCUGGGAGCUGUAGGUUUUCAUCAUAUGGCGUUACGUUGUGAUGUGUGUGAGGGUGAAGACGCUGACAGGACGGUGACGGCGAGGCGUCUUUGUGUUCUUCGCAUCAAACAGAACCCAUUUACAGUCGACACCGUGAUGAGAGUUUAGCGACACGACGCUCUGUAAACUACAGAUCCGUCGCCUUAAUGAACACAGACUUCAAACUCUCUGCUUCUGUCAGUUAACGUGAGUUUAAACGCAGGCGUCUGUUCGACUCUGACAGCAGCUCUGGAUGACGAGCAGCCGGUCCUCUGGGACUCGUCGGUGUUAAAGUGUACAAACGACGGCCGCCGGCUUCACACGAAUCAUCGCAGAGAGUAAACGCUGUGACGAGCGUCUGUCAGCGAUCAGGGAAAUCAGAGCCGACAGCUGAUGGACACCCAGAGAGAUGUUUCCUGACGUCCGGAGGAACCGAAGACGAACAAUCAGCGUUACUGUAGUUGGCAGGAAGAGCUGCAAGAAGUUCUCACAUCUCAAUACGACAGCGUGAAAAAUGCUGUUAACAAGUAAAUCACUGAAACCACGUCAGCCAGCAUAAAUCCCAUAAAUAUAGAGGAGAAGGAUGGCCCAUUUGUGUCUCUUUGUGGUUGGUUUGUGUCUUUUUGUGACUGUUUUUGUAUUUUGGUGUUUUUUUUGUCAUCGUUUGCGCCCGUUUUUUGUCGUUUUGCAUCUCUUUGUGGUUGUUUUUGUAUGCCUUUUGUUGUUUCAGUCUUUUAGCAGUCCUUGUUUGUCUCUGUUUUACGUCUCUUUUGGCCAUUUUUGUCACUCUUUAGUUGGUUUAGUCUCUUUGUGGUUGGUUUGUAUCUCUUUUUGGUUGUAUUGUGUCUCUUUUUUUUGUUUUGCAUCUCUUUGGGCUGUUUUCACAUGUUUGUAGUUGUUUUUGUGUCUUUAUGGUCAUUUCCGUCUCCUUUUAUUUAUUUAUUUUUGCACUUCCUUGUGAUUGUGUUGUGCCUCUUUGGGUUGCUUUUGUUUUUUUCUCUUUAGUUGUGUUAGUCUCUUUCUGAUAGUUUUGUGACUCUGUAUUGUCAUUUUGUGUCUCUUUUUGGUCAUUUUACAUUCCUUAAUGAGUAUAUAGCAUUCCUUUGUGGUUGUUUUGUGUCACUUUUUGGUCAUUUUGUUUCUCUUUGUGGUUGUUUGUUCGUAUAUUUAUAGUUGUUUUACAUCUGUUUGUGAGCGUUGUAUCUUUGCUAUUGUUUUGCAGCUUUUUGAUGCUGUUUUAGUAUCUUUAUCAUCUCUUUAUGGCUGUUUUCGUAUCGUAGUUGUUUUGUAUCUAUUUGGAGUUGUUUUGUAUCUAUUUGGAGUUGUUUUGCAUCUCUGCAUUGCUUUAUGGCUGUUUUUAUAUCUUUGCGGUCAUUAUGCUUCUCUUCGUGGCUGUUUUUGUAUAUUUAUAGUUAUUUUGCAUUUCUUCGUAGUUGUCUCGUGUCUAUUUGUGGCUUUCAUAUCUUUGUGGUGAUUUUGUGUGUCUUUUGUGGUGGUUUCUUCAUUUAAAGCUUAAGUCUUUUGUAGUCUCAUGGUUCAGCUUGAAAAACAGUUUACUUAUAGUGCUAAAUAUGUCAAAUGUGACAAUAUAGAUAGAAAAACAAAAGCCCUUCUUCCUUUGUUGCCCUCAUUACAAUACUUCUGUCCACACGUCAGCCACUUGUGACAGCAUGAAAAAGACAGUUUAAACUUUGCUUGUAUAAAUGUGCAUUCAUUUUGUAAGAAACUGAUCGAAGUGAACUGAGUCAGAUUAAGAAAAGUUCCUUCUCUUCCUGCUGAUUCCACAUCCAGUCUGUUCUGUGGAAAAUAUUAAAUCUGUGAAAGUAGUUAAAUUUACCUGACCUCUGUUAUUUGCAGGGUUACACACCUCUUCAUCUCGCCUGCAUCCACGGACACCAGGAGAUCAUCCGAACUCUGAUCAACACUUACAACGCUAAAACCAACAUCAGAGAUUAUCACGGGAAAAGAGCUGAACACUACUGGAGCGGUAGCAGCGACGUCUUCAACAAACCCGGCUCUCAGUCCGGCAGGUUCAGUCGCAGUCGGAGGACUCAGCGUUACGUUCUUCCUCUGCUGUUGUCUCGAUCUCGUAGUCAGGGUCAGCUUCACCUGGACUUCGGGACGCUGCCUCAGUCGACGUCACAUGAUGCGUUGGACCUCUACGUAUGACCUCACUGUUCUGGUGGAGGCCCUGCCCACUAAAAAAAUCUAAAUGAUGCUCCUAUGGGACUUUCUAUCACAAAGAUGUUACUUUUUUUGCUUGAAAUUUUGAGUAACUUCAAAAAUUUCAGAUAAAAAAACCCCAAUUGACUGUAAAUUUAGACUUUCUUUUACAAAAAUUUUUCUGCUUGAAUUUUUUCCAGAUUUCCAAAAUUUGGGCAAUAAAAAAACCUAAAUUAUGCAUCAAUUUUGGCAUUUUAUGACAAAAAUGUUACUGUUUUGUUUGAAAUUUGCUAUAUUUGGGGAUAAAACUAUCCAAAUUUUGUGGCAAUGUUGACUUUCUGUAAGAAAAAUACUUGCAAUUUUGAGUGAUGUCCAAAAAAAUCUAAACUAUGCAUCAAUUUUGACGUUUAUAACAAAAAUGUUGCUGUUUUGCUCAAAAAUUUAAGUUACUUCAAAAAUUUGGGAGACAAAAAACAUAAAUUGAGCAUAAAUUUGGACUUUCGUUUACAAAAAUGUUACUUUUUUUGCUUGAAAUUUUGGUGAUUUCCAAAAUUUGGCGCUAAAAUGAUCUAAAUUUUGUGGCAGUGUUGACUUUCUGUCACAAAAAUUGUUACAUUUUUGCUCAAAAUUUGGAGUGACUAGCAAAAUGUUGGACUUAAUCAUUUAAAUUAUGCAGCAAUUUAAACUUUCUAUCAGAGACAUGUUUCUUAUUUACUUGAAAUUUCAUGUGUUAGAAAAUUUUGUGAUGAACAACCUAAACUAUGCAGCAAUUUUGACUUUCUAUCACACAAAUGAUCAAUUUUAGCUAAAAAAUUUCACUCGUUAUAAAGUAAGUCACUUUUCUUCUUCGUAAAAUGACAGUUUUUGUGGCAGAAAUGGGCUUCCAUACCAAUGAGUGUUUUUUGUUGUUGUCUUUUGGGGAGUGAAUGGAUUUAAAUGGACUAUAAACAGUUUUAUUGAUUCAAUGCAGUUUGAUUGAAGAGCAAAAGUUGUUUUUUCUAGUAAUUUAAUGUUCUAAAUGUUAAUUUCUGACUGUAUUUGAGUUAAAAUAUAGAUAUAUUUGUAUUUGCCACUCCGUGAAGCCGAUAGUGUUGAAUCUGUGGAAGGAAUGGUCUGUAAAUGUUGGACUCGUCUCGUCCUCCCUCCUAUAAAUGUCUUCAUUAACUUCCGGUCCAUUGGCUGCUGACAGCAUAAAGCUCAUUAUCUGCUUUAAUAAGGCGAAGCAGCAGCGUUUGUGUAAAUGAUCAGCAGCAGCUAAUAACAAGCGCUCACUCUGCUUAAUGUGCUGCAGUCCAGCUGUGACUAAAGGCCACCGAGCAAAGCAGCACUCAGCUAACGGGAACAUGAAGAACAUAAAGAACAUAAAGAACGUGCAGAAUGUAGAACAGAUCCAGCAUGCAUCAUCUGCAGAACAAUGAGGUGUGAGCAGCUCCACUGAAUCCACAGAAGAAGAAAAUUCUCCAGAAAAGGAGAUGAAAUGUCAGAAAACAUCUCAUUUUAAUUAUCAGAGGUUUCACUUGAUGCCUAAAUAAUACAAACCUUAAUAUAAAAUCAGCUCUUUGGGUUUUUUUAUCUUAAUUUUUUCUGUAUUUCUGGUUUUGGUCACCAUCUCACGAAUCGCUUGAAAUUUUGAGUUCAAAAUUGUGGUUUCUAAAUGAAAAAUUGAAAAAAUAAUUGCGAAAAACCCACAAAAUAACAAAAAAAAAUGGAAUGCUUCAUUGUUUUUUCAAUUUUUGAUUGUCACACGAAAUUGUUUUCCCAUUUUUGGAGAUAAAAAACAAACUGAGCAUAAAUUUUGACUUUCUUUUACAAAGAUGUUACUUUUUUUGCUUUAAAUUUUUGUUGAUUUCCAAAAUUUGGAGAUAAAAAAAGAUCUUAGACACUGCUCAGAGUUUGGAGGGUUAAAAGUGUUGCCUCAUCAUUAACUACUACGUUUUUUGCCUCUGCAAACUUUUUCUCUCUACUCUGCUGAUCAUCCAUAGAAAGAUGUUUCUCCAUGCUGAAUGUAUCUUCCAACAACUUGCUCCUCUGUUCACUGUUUCUGAGCCAUGCUGCAUUUAUUUCAUUCAUCCAGGAGGUUGGAUGGUUUUCCUCUCAGUCUCUCUGGGGAAACACUGCCUGCAGUUCAACCUAAAAGCUCUCAGUUGCACAGAGGAGCUCAGAUUUUUGAUUUUUGAUUUUUUUUUUUUUUUUUUUUUUACAGAAUCUGGUGUAAACACUUUAUAGUUGGAGAUUUUUUAAAUGAGACAUGCAGAUGUUGAUGUAAGUUUGAUAAAAUAUUCCAAUUUUAAUCUUAGAUUUGUGUAAUUUUUGUGACUGAGUAGGUUUUCUGUGUUUAUAGAAUAAAAUAGAAGAUUUUUUAUUGUCAGUUUUCUCUCUAUAUCCAGAACAUCUCUCUCACACUUUUGUAUUAGCGUCAUACAUUUAAAAAAGGUUCAAAAUACCGUAUAAAUAAAUAAAAUAAAGUAAAAUAUAUAAAAAUCAGCCUAUGAACUGGCGGUAGUGCCGUAUAGUGGCAGCUUAUUGAGGUGGUUCCUGCAGAGUUUUCAGGUCCUUAACAGACCAGAGUCUCAGCCAUGACCUCAUGACCAGAUUGAUCGCUCUGCGAAUCGCCGCCAAGGCAUCAAUCUGCGUUUACAAGCUCAUUUCCUAUCGAGAAGCAGCGUUUUACUGCCCUGCGCUGCCGUUAAUUUCCCCCGCUCAGCUCAUCAACAGCUAUUUAGCAACAAAACAUGUGACGAAGAAGCCUUUUCAGGAGCCGAGUGGUUGCCUGGAGUGUUCAUGUCGCCGCACAAAGAGGCGUUUUGGGAGGAAAACCGACGUCUCAACAAUGUGGCGACCUCCGACCUCAGCGGUGAACUCUGACUCUGCUGUUUUCCCACAGCUGUCAGUGCUCACAAAGCCCGUUAAGAGGCCGGCCGGUGAGGACGAGAAUGAAAACAGAGCCAUUAACUCGUCGCCGGGUCAUUGUUGGGUCCAGAGUGGCCGUCGCCAUGACGCCCAGUCAGUGGGAAACGAGGCCUAAUGAGCUAAAAAAAAAAAAAAUGACAUCAAAGGUUUACAAAGUGACGCAACGGAGCAGCCUGUGAUGUGCUGCCACCUGCAGCCCGAAGGGAACGUUGGCUUUGUUCAGAGACACUUUAAUGUGCAGCACUGGAACCUCGACCAGCUGAGAACUCAACAAAGCUUUAAAUUGCACCAGUUGUCCAAAUAGCUUUUUAGCUGUUUAAUUAAUCUAAUUAUCAGGUUUUAUCAUUGCAGGGUGCUAGCUGAUCCUUUAAGUGUUUUGGUUUUAGAUUUUAAAAUAAAUGCCUUCAAAAGUCUUAUUUGUAAUUAUGAAAGUCAAAGGAUUCAAAGUUCAGUCCAAAGUUCUUAUUUUAUUGUUUUUUCAAUCAAUUAUUUUGUCUAUGAAGGGCCUGUAAAUGGCGAAAAACACCAAGUUAACAUUUUUAAAUAUCUUGUUACAUCUGAUUGAUGUUAAGAUCUUCCAUUUACUAUAAUGUGCUACAAGAAAGAACAUCAAAUCCGCAUAUUUGAGAAGAUAAACAGCAUUUCUUUUGAUAUUUUUGCUUUGUAUAUGACUUACCAAAUGCUAAUUAGAUUUUCUGUAAUCAGCUAAUUAACUAGUCGUCGCAGAUACAUCUUUCUGUGGAAGAAAACAAGAUUCAAUUAAAGCUGCAAGCAGCGUUGGACGGGUCCUCGCAUCCAUGCUCGUCGUCGAAUCCACGCACGUCCACCAGGUGGCGCUGCGACCGAGAGUGUAUAUUGGCCUAUGGAUGUGAUCACGUCCGCACUCUGAUGACACAUAUAACAUUUCAGGCAGAUCGGACCAUGUCCAGGCUAGUUAUAGAGCUUUUCCUUCUAUCCACCAGGUGGCGUUAUGACUGUGGCUGUAUUUCAGCAUGUGAAUGUCAUCAGGGCGGGACUCUGAUCAUACAUGUAAAGUUUGAGGCAGAUUGGAGCAUGUUUAGGGCAGUUACACAGCAGUUGAUGUGUCAUGUCGAAGCAUCAAAGUUUGGGAGCCUGCCAUGGCCACGCCCUCAGACUUUUGUGGAGCAUUUUGAUAACUUUUGAUCACCCAUGCCUGGAGUACAUCCUGGCUGAAUUUCAUAUCUGUCGGUGUUACCCUGUUUGAGUUGAUAGCUUUUCAAAAUGUCUCAAAAUGACCCAAAAUUGAAGGUUGGUGUUAAAUUCUAGAAAGAAGAAGAAGAUUAAAGAAAGAAAAUACAUAAAAAAGAAGCAAUUAAAUAAAUGGGAAAAAGUUAAGACAAUUAAACUUUUAUAAAGUAUGGGGGGAAAAAAGAUGUAAGAAAUUAAAGAAUUGUAUUUAAUAAAUAAACAGGAAAUUUGUAAAUAAGUGUUGUAGUCUUUUGCAGUUAAUUGAUGGAUAGGCGUAGUGAGAGACAGCCAGACAAUGGGGUAGAAAUAAGAAUGAGAACAACUAAUAUAGCACAGGGUUGCGAGCGGGAAUCGAACCAGGGCCUCAGCAUCGAGGACCAACUACAUGCGUCAGUGGCUUAACCCGCAGAGCUAUAUGAUCACACAUGUUGGCUGUCAGCAAAGGUGUAUCAAUCCAAUAGAAAGUCUAGGGGUAGGGUUCGGGUUACAGAGGAAGGUCCUGACAGUAGCAAUGUACCAAAAACAUGGAUAUAAAAUUAUACAUUUUUUCAUAAUUUAAUAUUAAGUCACACUAGCCAAAAAAUUCUUAGAAUAAAGUUGGGGUUUUUCCUUCAGCCGUUGUGGUUGCACUGUACCUUUAGGUUAUCUAGAUCUACAACGGCUGAAGGAAAAACCACGGAUUAAUUUCUCAGAAUAUUCGGCUGCUUAGUAUUAACAUUAAAAAUAUUUAUGUGUAAUAUUAAUUACCCUAUUUUUUUCAUUGCAACUGUAAGGACCUUCCUCUCCAACCCUAACCCUACCCCUAGACUUUCUAUUGGAUUAAUACACGUUUUCAAGACCAGAACAUGUGUGGUCAUGUAGCUCUACGGGUUACGCCUGUGAUGUUCAGGACUCAUUCUUGUAUUUUACACUCUCUGAUGUUUUCUUUUCUUCAUGUCUAGUGUGUGAAUCAUUUCUGGUUUGUCUCUUCAGUGUCUCAUGUGGCCCUGCAGCUUCUCCUCCUCCACCUCCUCCUGAAGCCUUCAUCUUCUUCAUCAUCAGCUGCUCAGUGACUCUGUUGGACGUCUCACCGUGUGGCAGCAGCUCAGGAGUUUGCAGUCAACCAAGGCCGACUCAGAAUCACUCCCACCGGGAAGAUCUGUGAAGGAAGGUCCACCCGGCUGGUCCAGAAGCUCCGGUCCAGCAGAGCAGCGUCAGGACGGAGACGUAACCGGUGUUGAUGUCACCGCCUUGACGAAUAGAAGAAAAGCCUGUAUUUGGGGUCCAGUCCAGUGACACUCCACUCCACAGACCACAACCUUUCCACAAGGUUCCCAGCGGGGAUUCGAACCGUGACCAUCCACAUGACAGACACACACCCUCUGUGUGAGCUAUCUGUCACACAAGGUCCCUGGUGGAGUUUGUUGUAAUGAUGCUUGCAAGAGGUUGUCAUGCAGCCAAAGUGUAAAAAGAGCCUUGAGCUGGAUUCCAACCAAGGACCUCCUGGAUGAGACGCAGAUAACUUACCACUGCACUAUCCUUCCUACUGGGUGUAGCUGUUAGUUUUCGUAAAUGAUGGUACACAAAAGUAUUAAGGAAGUGAAGAUAAUAAAGGUACUAAGGUACCGGGGAGGCAAAAAACUUACCUCUACACCACCUGUCCUACAACAUGUUGCUCUAACUUUGCUUAAAUGAUGCUAUCAAUUAGUACUGGCGCAACCAAACGACAAAUAAAAGGUGUGAGUGGAGAUCUGAAUCAUGUGAGGUUUGUUUGAGACUGAAUACACCUGAUCUCAUCUGAUCUGCAAAGCUAAGCAGGGUUGGGCCUGGUUAGUAUUUGGAUGGGAGACUACCUGGGAAUACCAGGUGCUGUAAGCUUUUUACUUCUCCUCACAACCUGAACAACACACUGCUAGCGACAGCUAUCAACUAAAACCUCUUGGUUUCUUUAUUAUACACUCUAUGAGGUGGAUAAGCUGCAGCUCAUGCUGAUUUAUUGCUGCUUCUGGUUGGAGCCAAAGAACAAAGGCUUCACCUGUUGGAGCAGCUGAUGUCCUGCAGCCUCUUCACCACAGAAAGCCUCUGACAGCUUCAAUUCUUUACACUCUGACUGCAAGACACCAAUCACAUAGGAACAUUUACAUGUAUGGAACAAAGAGCUGAGCUGACACUCAACAUAUGUUUGAGCAUUUAUUGAUAAAGACAUUCAAACAUGUCUAGAGAUAGAACACCAACGCACGGUGUAAGAAAGGUCAGAACAGACUUCACCUGCUCAGGAAACUGAGGUCCUUCGGGGUGCAGGGAGCAAUUCUGAGGACCUUUUAUGGUUGUGUGGUGGUAUCAGCCAUCCUGUAUGGACUGGUCUGCUGGAGCAGCAGCAUCACGGCUGCAGACAGGAAGAGACUAAAGAAACUGGUUAAGAAAGCAAGCUCUGUCCUGGGCUGGUGGUAGACAGGAGGAUGAUGACAAAGCUGUUGUCUAUCAUGGAGGACAUCUCCCACCCCCUGCAGGAAACAGGACCAUCACCGGAAGCUCCUUCAGGGACAGACUGCUUCACCCACGAUGUUUGAAGGAGGUCCUUCCUUCCUGCAGCAGUCAGACUGUGUUCAAUCAAGCCUGCUCCCAGUAGUUCAGAUCACCCAUGAAGUAACUGCAAUAAAAUGUAAAUAAGUCAAUAUGUGCAAUUUCACAGGGUUUUUUUUUUUACAAGCAUUUCUAUUUCUUCUCUAAGGAGAAAGCAUCUAUUUAUAUCUGUGCACUGAGUGCUGCUUUUUUUUUUUUUUGAACUUUUUUUCCUAUCUGCUACUGCCACACUGAAAAUUUCCCCACUGCAGGAUCUACCUAUCCAUCCAUCUAUCUAUGGUCCAUCUACCUCCCUACCUAUCUAUCCAUCCAUCCAUCCAUCCAUCCAUCUAUCCAUCCAUCUAUCCAUCCAUCCAUCCAUCCAUCCAUCCAUCCAUCCAUCCAUCUAUCCAUCCAUCCAUCCAUCUCUCUCACAGGUGUGGGGGUUGAUUCACCUGUUCUCAAUCACCUUAAUCCACGAAGGCCCGGUUCUUCAUUCUUCCGCUCUCUGCCAGACCAGAGACUUUGAAACCAGAACCUUUCUCCUACAAUUAGUCUGGUUUCCCCUUUUUGUUUUCACCUUGGUUUAGUUAUCCUUUCUGUGUUGGUUUUAGUUUCAUUCGUUAAAUAAACUCCUUGUAAUCUUUGACCUGUGUCUGCAGAUGUCCUGUGACACCAAUGAUCCCAUCUGAUAUUUAGCAUGUUUUCAAUUAUUGGUCCCAUUUCUUAAAAAAAAAAAAAAAAAAAAAAAAGCCCC